CAGCAGUAUAUGAAAACAUCAUGGUUGAAGGUUGUACUGAUUUUGAAUGAUUGAAGUCCUGACUUGUGGUCCAGUAAUGAUCCAGGCGAUACUGCCUGGUCAGGAGGAAGACCAAUGACUCCCCCUUGUGGAUACUACUGGUAUUUAACAUUUCAGAUAUAUAGGGAAGAUAUUACACAAAUCAAACGUUUCUUAGGCAGGUGCUGGAUAUCACAAAGAAUGUUCAGAAAGCUGAUAAAAUACUGAUGUUUUUCUCUACUGAUAUACACAACCUACUCUUGACUUUCAAGGGGAACAAAUGAUAGAAUCCCCCAAAAAAUUACAUAAAAAAACAGAUGUCUUAAUUGGUUAAGCAUAAACCCCACCCCCUAGAUACUAUCAAUAUAUUAGACAUGGUGCAUGCUGGUCCAUUCUCUACUUAAUAUCUUCCUAUCAGCUCCUCGUGUAGCAGAGGGCCUCACUGAUACACAAACAACAUCUAGAAUACAGGAAGCAUCUUUCAAAUUCAUCCAAUCACAACAAACAUGUUUCAUAAAGCACCUGAGAUCAAACAACAACAACUGGUAUAGUAUUAUACCUCAUCAAAUAACCAUCAGCUAUUCCCUUCAAACAGACCCCUACUUAGCACAUUCUGGAUAUAUCAUUAUUGUAGUUAAAAAUCUUCUCUCUUGAGAAUAACAGUGGAUGAAAAUGAAUGAAAUGACAUAAUCAAAGAAAAUAAUACCCUCCCUACAAUGAAACAUGGGGGAGGUUGGAUAACCAACCCUCCUUACAAUCAAACAUGGGGAGGUUGGAUAACCAACCCUCCUUACAAUCAAACAUGGGGGAGGUUGGAUAACCAACCCUCCUUACAAUCAAACAUGGGGGAGGUUGGAUAAUGAACCCUCCCUACAAUGAAACAUGGGGGAGGUUGGAUAACCAACCCUCCUUACAAUCAAACAUGGGGGAGGUUGGAUAAUGAACCCUCCUUACAAUAAAACAUGGGGAGGUUGGAUAACCACCCCUCCUUACAAUAAAACAUGGGGAGGUUGGAUAAUGAACCCUUCCUACAAUAAAACAUGGGGAGGUUGGAUAAUGAACCCUUCCUACAAUAAAACAUGGGGAGGUUGGAUAAUGAACCCUUCCUACAAUAAAACAUGGGGAGGUUGGAUAAUGAACCCUUCCUACAAUAAAACAUGGGGGAGGUUGGAUAAUGAACCCUUCCUACAAUAAAACAUGGGGGAGGUUGGAUAAUGAACCCUUCCUACAAUAAAACAUGGGGGAGGUUGGAUAAUGAACCCUUCCUACAAUAAAACAUGGGGGAGGUUGGAUAAUGCUGGGGGUUUUGUGCAAGACAUCAUGAAAUCUGAAGAUUCUAAAGGUGUUUUGAAGAGUGGAUUGUACAAUAUGUGCCCAUUAUUCUAUAAAACAUUUCUUCAAGCUCUGUCAAGUUGCUAGACAGUCAUUUUCCUGUUUUGCCAUUGAUUUUCAAGCUGAUUUAAGUAAAAAAGGCCAGGAACAUUCAAUAUCAUCUUGGUAAGCAACUCCAGUGUAUAUUUGGCCUUGUGUUUUAGGUUAUUGUCCUGCUGAAAGGUUAAUUCAUCUCCCAGUAUCUGGUGGAAAGCAGACUGAACCAGGUUUUCCUCUAGGAUUAUGCCUGUGCUGAGCUCCAUUCCCUGGUAGGCCGUCAUUGUAAAUAAGAAUUUGAUCUUAACUGACUUGCCUAGUUUAAAGGUUUAUUUAAAGGUUCAAUAAUUUUUUUAAAUCCCAUUAUUUUUAUCCUAAAAAACUCCCUAGUCCUUGCAGAUAAGAUGAUGCAGCCAGCCACCACCGUGCUGGAAAAUAUGAUGAGUGGUACUCAGUGAUGUGUUGGAUUUGCCCCAAACAUAAUGGAAGUAUUCUGGACAAAAAUAAAAUGUGUCAAUUUUUUUUCAGUAUUACUAGUUGCCUGCCUUGUUGCAAACAGGAUGCAUAUUUUAUUCUGUACUGGCUUCCAUCUUUUCACUCUGUCAUUUAGGUUGGUAUUGUGGAGUAACUACAAUGUUGUUGAUCCAUCUUCAGUUUUCUAUCACAGCCAUUGAUACACCAUCCAAAGUGUAAUUAAUAACUUCACCAUGCUUAAAGAGAUAUUCAAUGUCUGCUUAUUUUUUAUUUUUACCCAUCUACCAAUAGGAGCCUUUCUUUAUGAAGCAUUGUGGUUGAAUCUGUGUCUGAAAUUCACUGUUCGACUGAGGGACCUUACAGAUAAUUGUAUGUGUGUGGUACAGAGAUGAGGUAGUCAUUUAAAAAUCAUGUUAAAUACACAGACUGAGUCCAUGCAACUUAUUAUGUGACUUGUUAAGCACAUUUUUACUCCUGAACUUAUUUUGGCGUUUCCAUAACAAAAGGAUGGAAUCAUUAAUGAUUUUAGACUUUUCAUUUUUUAUUAAUUUGUAAAACAAUUAUAAAAACAUAACUCCACUUUGACAUUAUGGAGUAUUGUGUGUAGGCCAAUGACACAACAUCUAAAUGUAAUGAAUGUUAAAUUCAGGCAGUAACACAACAAAAUGUGGAUAAAGUCCAGGUGUGUGAAUACUUUCUGAAAGCUCAGUAACUAAACAUGUACAAACUCCUGGGUGGCCAUUUGUUUCUAUUGUCUACAUUAAACUUCAGUUUGGGUUCUCCAGUGUUGCCAAUCCAAUAACAAGGAGACUAAAGGUUUUCUACAAUUUCAACUUAUUUGACAAUAGAGAAUUCUUUAGGAAGUGCCAGGGAUCAACGUACUCAGCCACCACUGUAUGUAUAUACCCCCCGUUGCAUAACCAAGCAAACUCCUCUGCACAAUAGUGAUGGGAAAUCAAUAGUUACAUUUCAGGAUAUUAUUUAGUGACGAUAUAUUGUACUGCAUCAUUUUGACAAUAUCACAAUACUGUUUUUGUGCUAGUUGUCUGUACCUCCAGCAGAACUCCAGGAUUUCUCCUUCAUAGCUUGUUCUUAAAUAGGAAGACAAUUUGUUUUCAGCACUUUUAUGUCCAUGACUGAUCAAAACUUGUUUUCUCAUGCUUUCUUGUAUCUCUACAGCAGACAUAUGGUGAAAAAUAUGUUUGGAACAUCAAAUCACAAUGGAAUAGCAGUACAUAUAGAAUCAUGUGUCUCAACACAUAUCGUAACGCCACCUAAGUAUCAUGACAAUAUGGUAUGGUGAGGUCCCUGGUAACUCCAGCCCCAGAAGCUUUAAAGUAUCUGUGAACGGCUGUGUUACGAUCACGUCAUAGGCCAUGUUUAGGAUGUCAUGUAGUCAAGACCUUGGCAACUACCCAGAUGACUUCUGGCACAAAAUGGUUGCUGUUGAUCACCGUAGGAAAUCCACAUUUAUUUAUUUAAACUUUAUCUAACUAGGCAAGUCAGUUAACAACAAAUUCUUAUUUACAGUGACGGCCUAGGAACGGUGGGUUAACUGCCUUGUUCAGGGGCAGAACGACAGAUUUUUACCAUGUCAGCUCGGGGAUUCGACCUUGCAACCUUUCGGUUACUGGCCCAACGCUCUAACCACUAGGCUACGUGCCGCCCCAUAUUGGUGGUGGAAGAGAUGAGAUUCCCCCUUCACUAUCAGAGUCAUUUUCCCAGAGCCCUUUGAGCUCUGGAAAAAUACAUCCAAUCAAUCAUUAUUACCUAGAGCCCUCAAAUUCUAAUCCGGACCUUGAAGACCUUCCAGUGCUUUUUUCAUUAUUCUCCUCUGAUCAGGGACUGAUUUAGACCUGGGACAUCAGGUGGGUGAUAUUAACUAUCAGGUAGAACUGAUUUAGACCUGGGACAUCAGGUGGGUGAUAUUAACUAUCAGGUAGGACUGAUUUAGACCUGGGACAUCAGGUGGGUGAUAUUAACUAUCAGGUAGGACUGAUUUAGACCUGGGACAUCAGGUGGGUGAUAUUAACUAUCAGGUAGAACAGAUUUCCCCAAGAGCUUCAUUCUUCUUCUGCAUCUUCAAACUGGUCGGCCGUGGUGGUGGUGAGUGCAGCAGUAUGCUCCCAGUGGCGCCCCCAGAGGACAGGAGGGGUAUGGUGCACGGAGGGGGUGUAGUGGUAGUGUACCUGGACUGGCCAGGGAGAGGGCACACUGCUAGGGUGGGACUGGGAGGGAUGGACAACACCUGGGCUCAACAGGUCCUCUGGGGCUACAGGGAGAGGUGAGGAGAGCGAGGG
rnacentral:lncRNA from 1 species